CUUCAUCCCACCCUCCUGACAGCUAAUGACGCUAUGGACUCUAGCCAAUCACAAGGCAGGACAGCCGUCACGUUUUCAGAAACAGCCAAUAGAAGCAGGGGAAGGAGGGGCGGGGCCAAUAGGAACCGGCUGAGUUCCUGACGCACCCAGAGAGCAUUUCGAAACCUGAUGUGGGCGUGGCGAGAGAAAAGAGGCGGAGGAUGAUGGGAGAAGCUUGGCUGCGAUUGUGACGUGCGCCGGUGGCUGUUUUAAGCAGAGCACCGGAAGUCUUUUCCUACCCUAUCCUGAGAUGGACGCUGUUCUUGUUGGUCACUAAGCACCGGAAAUAACAAUGGGACCUUUCCAUCCUGCAGGCUGCCAAGCUGUUGGUGCUUUUCUCGCCCAAGGUUUGGUUAUCUCACUCCCGUAUGUGAUUUUUUUUUUU